CAUCACAAAUAUUUGGCCUAGAAAAAUGCCAUUAUAUACUGCUUAGUUACAAGUUAUUAAUAUAAAUAAGUAUUAAAGUAGACAUUAAAUUCAAGGAAGGUUGUUUUUUUUUUUAAAAUCGGCUUUUUUCUUGUGUUGUCAGUUAAAUUUAUCUAUUAUUUUAUAUAGUUUUAUAAAACAAUUCCACAAAUAAAGAAUACUUGUUUUUAGUUUUCCUAUUUGCACUUUAGAAGAUUAGAUACCAUGCUGGCAUCUAAAAAGCUUUCCUUAAAGUUUAUAUUAUUUAAUGGAAUCUGAUGAAGAAGUUGGGGCUUACUUCAAGUACUAAGUAAACUGGAUAAGGCUUUUAUACUUGUUGAGGGGGAAAGACAAACUUUUCCGGUUGUUUAUCAGAUUUGUGUGUUGUCUCCCUUUGUAAACAGGUACCUUUUAAAAUCUUUUUUGCUAUUUUUUGCUAAUGUUUUGUAAGAAUGGUCACAGAAAGGAAUAUUGGUCGGGCUCUACCAAAAAACAAGAAAAAAAGAAUUCUUAUAGUAAAUACCAAUUCUGUGAUUAUACAAUUAAUGCCUUUUUCUUUAUUUUAAAAACAGCCACUUAGAUUCUAAUAGAUUUUAGUGAAGUAUUUUAAUAUCAAAACAUCAGAACAGUCUCAUUUCAUUCAGCUGGUUGCUGAAUGUUAAUUUACAUGGGGUGUAGGGGCAGACAGUCAAGUGGAUUCUCUUCAGGUUAAGUUAAAUAAGCAUUCGAUGUGGAAAGACCUAGUGGCUAGAAUAGAAUUACAUUAGGCUACGAGUUAAAUUACCGUGCUUUUGCUUCCUUCAUUAAGAUAAGUAGUAGAGUAUUUCUACUUUUCUUCAUGCCUCUCUUGUAUUUGAAAAAGAAUAAUUUUCUUAAGGUUUUUAGCAUGAUGGAAGCAAAUUACAUUUUUAUUUUAACUUUUCACCAACAUUUGUAGAUAUUUAACUGUGCUGAGUUGUAUAUUUUAAAGGCAAGAAAAAGCCUUCAGAUUUUUAUUUGUCAGAGCAUAUUUGUUGAAACAUGAUUUUGUUUAUGCUUGCAGUGGGGAAAAUUUAACAUUGAAUAAGUGCCUGGUUUAUGCUAAAUGUUUGUUUUAUGUACGUAGUAAUUUAAAAUGGUCUCGGGAUUUUCUUCAAAGUUUAAACGAAGAUAGUGGUAUUAAAAGCUAAAGGAGCGGUGUUUAGGUAAUAUGUCUUAGUAGUUUUGUCGCAAGGAAAUAUUUUGAGAUUAAAACUUUGAAGUGCUAGUGCUUGUUUUUGACCAAGUGGUAAACAUCACUAAAUUAAAACUGAGUAGCAUGAUCUGAAUUACUGUUUAAUGUCUUUUGAAAAUGACAUUUCUAAAUAUUCAUGGCUUAUUAAUCAAAUGCUGUUUAUAAUUCAUUUGUUUCUCGAUGUUUAUUCCAAGAGCUGUCAUUUGAGAAAUGUAAAAUGCUAUACAGAAUGCUUAAAAUAAGAGAAUUCUGAACAUUAGGGGUGGUUUCCAGCAGAUACCUCUUGGAUGUUGGACUUGAAUUGCUAUAAUUUUGAUGAAAUGAUGCUCACAAUAGAAUGCAGUGAAUCCUGCUGUUAAUGCACAGUUGCCUUCUAAAAACCAGAAUGCUCGGCAAAAUUGUACAAUAAAGAGGCCUUAGGAUAUAUGGGGAAAACUGGGUUAGAGGCUCAGCAACCCAAAACUUCAACAGUGACAUACCCAAGAAUAAAGAUAAGAAUCUAAUAAGAGCAGCACAGUUUGACACAUGUUAAAUGGUUAAUAAAUAUGGCACUUUACCUUGGAAAAGACCUGAAGUGUGCCUGUAGAAGUGGGCAUAGGAAGGGUUGCAGCUCAUGAAUUAAGGUGAAGCUGUGGAAGGAGAGUCAGCUGGAAUCAGAGGGUGAGUUCUAAUCCCAGGACUGGGUAAGUGUGACUCAGUACUUGCAGUGAACGGAGGCUGCUCACUCGUGUUCUGUGUGUUCCGAUGCUGGGUGUGGUUUUCCACAUUUCACCUAGCGUUGCUCCUGGAUGAGACCAUGCGUAAGCAAAUUGUGAAAUUUGCGUUCUGCUCAUAUUCCUUGUAGUUCUGCUCAUAUUCAUUAUUAAUUUCCUGGAACAAGUUUGUGUUUUCCAAACAAAUGUGAUAUCAAUAUUGACUUUAAAAGACACUUUGUGGUGGAGAAUGAGUGGCUAUUUACCAUUUAUUUCUACCCAGAAAAAUACUCUUUGUACUUCUAAAUGAAUAAGAAUUGUGGACAACCUCUAAGGUACAAAACUCUUUCUUCCCCCUUACCAGAUCAGAAAUGAUCCCCACUGAACAUGUAAACACAUUUAGAUUCAAAUAAUUAUUUUAUGUGUUUUGCUUAAAAUGCUUAAAAUCUGUGGGAAAUUAAAUGCCCUGUAAACCCGGUAAGAAAACACAAAACACAUAAAGCCUGUGAGAAAUUAUAUGCCCUACAAUCCUGCCUCUCCCAAAAAAACAGGGAAAGAAAAGAA
rnacentral:lncRNA from 1 species